GCAGUCGGGGCUAAGUGGUUAAGGCGAUAAACUAGAAAUCCAUUGGGGUCCCCCCGCACAGGUUCGAAUGCUGUCGACUGCG
rfam:Ixodes scapularis strain Wikel colony gcontig_1108379404682, whole genome shotgun sequence.